rnacentral:rRNA from 1 species
GACGAACGCUGGCGGCGUGCUUAACACAUGCAAGUCGAACGGAAAGGCCCUGCUUGCAGGGUACUCGAGUGGCGAACGGGUGAGUAACACGUGGGUGAUCUGCCCUGCACUUCGGGAUAAGCCUGGGAAACUGGGUCUAAUACCGGAUAGGAGCCAUAUUUAGUGUGAUGGUUGGAAAGUUUUUUCGGUGUAGGAUGAGCUCGCGGCCUAUCAGCUUGUUGGUGGGGUAAUGGCCUACCAAGGCGGCGACGGGUAGCCGGCCAGAGGGGGUGGACGGCCACAGUGGGACUGAGGGACGGCCCAGACUCCGACGGGAGGCAGCAGUGGGGAAGAUUGCACAAGGGGCGCAAGGCGGAUGCAGCGACGCCGCGUGGGGGAUGACGGCCUUCGGGUUGUAAACUCCUUUCGCUAGGGACGAAGCUUUUUGUGACGGUACCUAGAUAAGAAGCACCGGCUAACUACGUG